AAUAAUUCCAAAAUUGCUGUUAUUGCUCAUUAAUGUAUUUGGUGUGAUGCUUUAUGCGAUGCUUAGCUACUACAUUUGCCGUUGGAGUGCUUGGCCCCGUAAUUGCUGCUUGCAGCUAUAUUUAGGGGCCAAGCACCGAAGGUGCGUAGGCACCUAUUGUUUUCGUUGGCGUUAUUAUUAUUCUUCUUCUUCUUCUUCCGCCGCAAGUCUAUGGCAGCCCAUAGAACCGUUUGCGGGAAAGUUGUAUAAUUUGGCACACUGAUAGAGGACAGUCCCAACAUUAACUAUAGCAAAUUUGAAGCCUCUAACUCCUACUCUCUAGCGCCACCACUUGUCCAAACUUUCAAUGUUUGUAUGCUAAUAACUUUUGAACCGUAAGCCAGAAAAUGGAAAUUCUUUUUUCCUCUGAAUCCUUGGCUCAGGCCAAGUCGAAUGAACCCUAAAAUUCAAAAAUCGCAAGGUUUAGUUUUUUUCGCUAUUUUCAAUUAUUCGAAAAACCUACUUUUUCGAACUCGUCCUAGACGGUUAGUCCGAUUGCCACGAAAAUUGGCUCAGAUCAUCUUCAGACCAUGCUGGCAAAAAGUUAUGGAAUUCAAGUUGAUUCGUCCAACUGUUGUCGAAUGACACGUAAACAAAUUUGACGAAAAGCAUGCAAACAUGCACAUGAGGCUAUAUCCCGGCAACGGUUUGUCAUAUUGAGACCAAACUUGGCGUGUGUUAUAACAAGCAUGAACUGAGACUACCUGCAGUGUUUCGACACAGCGCCACCUAGUGGUCAGGAGAUAUGAAAAAUGCAUAUUUUGGCUUA